AGGAAAAGAAACCAACAGGGAUUGCCCUAGUAACGGCGAGUGAAGCGGCAACAGCUCAAAUUUGAAAUCUGGCGCAAGCCCGAGUUGUAAUUUGUAGAGGAUGCUUCUAGGUAGCGACCGGUCUAAGUUCCUUGGAACAGGACGUCAUAGAGGGUGAGAAUCCCGUAUGUGACCGGCCCGCACCUUCUACGUAGCUCCUUCGACGAGUCGAGUUGUUUGGGAAUGCAGCUCUAAAUGGGAGGUAAAUUUCUUCUAAAGCUAAAUACCGGCCAGAGACCGAUAGCGCACAAGUAGAGUGAUCGAAAGAUGAAAAGCACUUUGGAAAGAGAGUUAAAAAGCACGUGAAAUUGUUGAAAGGGAAGCGCUUACAACCAGACUUCUGGGCGGUGUUCCGCCGGUCUUCUGACCGGUCUACUCGCCGUCCCGAGGCCAACAUCAUCUGGGACCGCUGGAUAAGACCUCAGGAAUGUAGCUUCCCUCGGGAAGUGUUAUAGCCUGUGGUGAUGCAGCGCGUCUCGGGUGAGGUCCGCGCUUCGGCAAGGAUGUUGGCGUAAUGGUUGUCAGCGGCCCGUCUUGAAACACGGACCAAGGAGUCUAACAUCUAUGCGAGUGUUCGGGUGUCAAACCCCUACGCGUAAUGAAAGUGAACGGAGGUGGGAAGCGCAAGCUGCACCAUCGACCGAUCCUGAUGUCCUCGGAUGGAUUUGAGUAAGAGCAUAGCUGUUGGGACCCGAAAGAUGGUGAACUAUGCCUGAAUAGGGUGAAGCCAGAGGAAACUCUGGUGGAGGCUCGCAGCGGUUCUGACGUGCAAAUCGAUCGUCAAAUUUGGGUAUAGGGGCGAAAGACUAAUC
rnacentral:rRNA from 1 species